UUUUGCUUUACCAUUUAUUGCCUUUCUUUUACACAUUCCAUUGUCUAAUGUCCAGCCACUUCAUCUUCUUCAUUGGAAAAAAGGCUCUUGAGAGUGAACUUUGAUCUAGGGGGAAAGUGAAAACAGUAUUGCUACACCAGAUUAUUUUCGCAACUUCUGAUCUAUAACGUUAUCUCUUCAGCUACAAUACAACUUGCUCCUACCUUGUGUUUUGUGUUAUAAUAUUAGAAGAAAUAACAAAUAUUAUGAUGUAGAUUAUAUAAGAGUCCUAGAAACUUCAUAUAGGCUCUUGAGAGUGAACUUUGAUCUAGGGGGAAAGUGAAAACACUAUUGCUACACCAGAUAUGUGUACCUAUGGGAAUAGAUUAAAUUCUAACAAAAGAAAGGUGGAUGAAGACCUAAUUGAUCACACAACAGGCCAUCCAUAUCUUCGUGCCGAAAAUAAUGAAAGAAACCUUAGGCGACGUAUCGCGUACAGAGAAAUGCCUCCUGAAAAAAAGGCAGCACUUCUAGAGCGACGUCAGACUGAAUAUGCUGCGAGAAAACGCCGUCUUUCUGAAAUUUCUUCCGCCAAACCUUCUGAUCAAAGUCAUUCCUCUUCCAAAUCUCAAAGGAUGAUUCCAGGACAAGCUGCUACCUUCAUCCGAGAUAUACCUUCUUCUUCCCGAAAUGGUUGGUUGAAUUGAACUGUAAUAUUCGAUUAACUUCCGGCAUUUUAGGCUAUCCUCAGAUAGUUAACAUAUUUUGAGGUGCUGCCUGUAUAUUACACGCCGGCAUCACGAACAUAUAAUGAAAAUUUAACUACUUAUGAUGUUGCAGGACGCACCUCAACACAGGUAGGGUGCUGGAAUAUCAACCAGCUACC